rnacentral:rRNA from 1 species
UUAAGCGACUAAGCGUACACGGUGGAUGCCUAGGCAAUCAGAGGCGAUGAAGGACGUGCUAAUCUGCGAUAAGCGUCGGUAAGGUGAUAUGAACCGUUACAACCGACGAUUUCCGAAUGGGGAAACCCAGUGCAAUUCGUUGCACUAUCGUUUGAUGAAUACAUAGUCAAACGAAGCGAACCGGGGGAACUGAAACAUCUCAGUACCCCGAGGAAAAGAAAUCAACCGAGAUUCCCCUAGUAGCGGCGAGCGAACGGGGAGCAGCCCAGAGUCUUAAUCAGCAUUAGCAUCAGGAGAACGGUCUGGAAAGUCCGGCAGUAAAGGGUGAUAGCCCCGUAUCCGAAGGUGUUAGUGUUGUGAACUCGACGAGUAGGGCGGGACACGUGUUAUCCUGUCUGAAUAUGGGGGGACCAUCCUCCAAGGCUAAAUACUCCUGAUUGACCGAUAGUGAACCAGUACCGUGAGGGAAAGGCGAAAAGAACCCCGGCGAGGGGAGUGAAAUAGAACCUGAAACCGUGUACGUACAAGCAGUGGGAGCCUUGAUUUAUCAGGGUGACUGCGUACCUUUUGUAUAAUGGGUCAGCGACUUAUAUUCUGUAGCAAGGUUAACCGUAUAGGGGAGCCGUAGGGAAACCGAGUCUUAACUGGGCGAAUAAGUUGCAGGGUAUAGACCCGAAACCCGGUGAUCUAGCCAUGGGCAGGUUGAAGGUUGGGUAACACUAACUGGAGGACCGAACCGACUAAUGUUGAAAAAUUAGCGGAUGACUUGUGGCUGGGGGUGAAAGGCCAAUCAAACCGGGAGAUAGCUGGUUCUCCCCGAAAGCUAUUUAGGUAGCGCCUCGUGAACUCAUCUUCGGGGGUAGAGCACUGUUUCGACUAGGGGGUCAUCCCGACUUACCAACUCGAUGCAAACUACGAAUACCGAAGAAUGUUAUCACGGGAGACACACGGCGGGUGCUAACGUUCGUCGUGAAGAGGGAAACAACCCAGACCGCCAGCUAAGGUCCCAAAGUCAUAGUUAAGUGGGAAACGAAGUGGGAAGGCUCAGACAGCCAGGAUGUUGGCUUAGAAGCAGCCAUCAUUUAAAGAAAGCGUAAUAGCUCACUGGUCGAGUCGGCCUGCGCGGAAGAUGUAACGGGGCUAAACUAUGCACCGAAGCUGCGGCAGCGAUAUUUAGAUAUUGUUGGGUAGGGGAGCGUUCUGUAAGCCUGUGAAGGUGUGCUGUGAGGCAUGCUGGAGGUAUCAGAAGUGCGAAUGCUGACAUAAGUAACGAUAAUGCGGGUGAAAAACCCGCACGCCGGAAGACCAAGGGUUCCUGUCCAACGUUAAUCGGGGCAGGGUGAGUCGACCCCUAAGGCGAGGCAGAAAUGCGUAGUCGAUGGGAAACGGGUUAAUAUUCCCGUACUGGUGAUAAUUGCGAUGGGGGGACGGAGAAGGCUAGGCUAUCCGGGCGACGGUUGUCCCGGUUUAAGGAUGUAGGCAGGUGAAUUAGGCAAAUCCGGUUCACUAUAUGCUGAGGUCCGAUGACGAGUCACUACGGUGAUGAAGUAGCUCAUGCCCCGCUUCCAGGAAAAGCCUCUAAGCUCUAGAUUAUCAUUAAUCGUACCCCAAACCGACACAGGUGGUCAGGUAGAGAAUACUCAGGCGCUUGAGAGAACUCGGGUGAAGGAACUAGGCAAAAUGGUGCCGUAACUUCGGGAGAAGGCACGCUGGCAUUAGGUGAAGUGAUUUACUCAUGGAGCUGAAGCCAGUCGCAGAUACCAGCUGGCUGCAACUGUUUAUUAAAAACACAGCACUGUGCAAACACGAAAGUGGACGUAUACGGUGUGACGCCUGCCCGGUGCUGGAAGGUUAAUUGAUGGGGUUAUCCGUAAGGAGAAGCUCUUGAUCGAAGCCCCAGUAAACGGCGGCCGUAACUAUAACGGUCCUAAGGUAGCGAAAUUCCUUGUCGGGUAAGUUCCGACCUGCACGAAUGGCGUAAUGAUGGCCAGGCUGUCUCCACCCGAGACUCAGUGAAAUUGAACUCGCUGUGAAGAUGCAGUGUACCCGCGGCAAGACGGAAAGACCCCGUGAACCUUUACUAUAGCUUGACACUGAACAUUGAGCCUUGAUGUGUAGGAUAGGUGGGAGGCUUUGAAGCGUGGACGCCAGUCUGCGUGGAGCCAACCUUGAAAUACCACCCUUUAAUGUUUGAUGUUCUAACGUUGCCCCAUUAUCUGGGGUGCGGACAGUGUCUGGUGGGUAGUUUGACUGGGGCGGUCUCCUCCCAAAGAGUAACGGAGGAGCACGAAGGUUGGCUAAGCAUGGUCGGACAUCAUGCGGUUAGUGCAAAGGCAUAAGCCAGCUUGACUGCGAGAGUGACGGCUCGAGCAGGUACGAAAGUAGGUCUUAGUGAUCCGGUGGUUCUGAAUGGAAGGGCCAUCGCUCAACGGAUAAAAGGUACUCCGGGGAUAACAGGCUGAUACCGCCCAAGAGUUCAUAUCGACGGCGGUGUUUGGCACCUCGAUGUCGGCUCAUCACAUCCUGGGGCUGAAGUAGGUCCCAAGGGUACGGCUGUUCGCCGUUUAAAGUGGUACGCGAGCUGGGUUUAGAACGUCGUGAGACAGUUCGGUCCCUAUCUGCCGUGGGCGUUGGAAGAUUGAAAGGGGCUGCUCCUAGUACGAGAGGACCGGAGUGGACGCACCACUGGUGUUCGGGUUGUCAUGCCAAUGGCAUUGCCCGGUAGCUAAGUGCGGAAGAGAUAACCGCUGAAAGCAUCUAAGCGGGAAACUUGCCUUGAGAUGAGUCUUCCCUGACUCUUUAAGGGUCCUAAAGGAACGUUUAAGACUAAGACGUUGAUAGGUUGGGUGUGUAAGCGUAGCGAUACGUUGAGCUAACCAAUACUAAUGAACCGUGAGGCUUAACC